rnacentral:rRNA from 1 species
AUAUCAAUAAGCGGAGGAAAAGAAACCAACAGGGAUUGCCUCAGUAGCGGCGAGUGAAGCGGCAAAAGCUCAAAUUUGAAAUCUGGCGUCUUUGGCGUCCGAGUUGUAAUUUGAAGAAGGUAUCUUUGGGCCCGGCUCUUGUCUAUGUUCCUUGGAACAGGACGUCACAGAGGGUGAGAAUCCCGUGCGAUGAGAUGACCCGGGUCUGUGUAAAGUUCCUUCGACGAGUCGAGUUGUUUGGGAAUGCAGCUCUAAGUGGGUGGUAAAUUCCAUCUAAAGCUAAAUAUUGGCGAGAGACCGAUAGCGAACAAGUACAGUGAUGGAAAGAUGAAAAGAACUUUGAAAAGAGAGUGAAAAAGUACGUGAAAUUGUUGAAAGGGAAGGGCUUGAGAUCAGACUUGGUAUUUUGCAUGCUGCUCUCUCGGGGGCGGCCGCUGCGGUUUACCGGGCCAGCAUCGGUUUGGAGCGGCAGGAUAAUGGCGGAGGAAUGUGGCACGGCUUCUGCUGUGUGUUAUAGCCUCUGACGAUACUGCCAGCCUAGACCGAGGACUGCGGUUUUUAACCUAGGAUGUUGGCAUAAUGAUCUUAA